AAAUGCCUUCCUUUUCCAAUUUCCUCUUCCUGCCCCCAUUCUUAAUUAAGCUCUACUCUUGUAUGUUGUUGUGAAACUCAAUCAGAAUGACAGAAAAAAAAUCUAUCAAAGGAAAUAUAAGAUAAGAAUAUGAUAUCAUUGAAUGUAGGUCCAUUAGGUAAUGGAUCUCCCCCUAAAUUGGUAUGAAAAAGAAUGUGGAUGUGGCAAGACCAAUUUCAACUGAAACUAAUUGAUCUCAUUUUUAAAAAAAUUCUGAUCCAUGAGGGGGUCACCCCUCUCAUUAUUUCUGAACUUGGUUAGUAAAAGUUGCUAAGCAUUUUAUGAGGCAGAGCCACUAUUGGAUUUUUUAAGCAAAUACGUUGUUAAAAAAAUAUUGAUCUUCUUCUGAGAGCAUCUUUGUGUUAGCUAGAGAUUAUAAACAAGAGAUAUAGAUACAUAAAUAUGCUGUGUUUAUAUAAAAUCAAUCUGAAUGCCAUCCAUAUAACUUCUUUCCCUAUACUUCCCUCAUACCUUCCCAUGCAUAAAGUUACCAAAUUCUGUAUUAAAUCAAUGACCUGAGAUUGACAAGGGACUACUAUGCCUCUAGUAUGUAGCUAUGCCUCUAGUAUGUAGGCACAAAGUUUCCAUUUUCAAAUUAUUUAAAAUUCAUGUGAGUAUAAAAUUCCAAAAUUUCUGACUCCAAUCAUAUAAAACAGUUGCUACUCAUUGCAGUGGUCUCCCACCUCAAUAUCAAGAGGGCUGUACACUAAGAUGGGAAAAUCUCGUCAAGCCUAAAAUGGUUAGUUUUUCUAUGAUGCCAUCAGUUUGUUUAGUAAAAGACGAUUAUCUUUAAAACACCAAAUUAUCUUUGGAAAACUUAAUUUGACUAAAGGCAGAGACGUUCUAAGUGAGAUAAAAAUUUUAAAGUACCCUGCAUUUUGCAAAAUAAUCUGAUCUUUUAGCAACCCCUCACUUCCCUCCCUAUUUUGCUCCCUGCAUUAAUGAAUUGUAUUUAUAGUCAAAACGCACAUUUAUACCCCUAACAUGCCUUACACACAACCAAUUGAUAAGCCAUGGUACUUUUAGUAGGUUUAAACUUUUAAUUCUGUAUUUCCUUACUAUAAGUCUUGCUAGAAUUUUUUUCUUAUCUUUAGUAGAUUUGAUUAAACAAUGAUUUACAUAAUCUAGUAAUAGAGUCAAACUAUGUAUGAAUAUAACCAAGGUGAGGACACAGAGUUAACUAAACAAGUAAUUUUUAAAGGACUAAUAAAAAUCUGAAAUGUUUAAAUAGAAGACUACAUUGUUUAGUCUUGUAUUUACUCCUUUUGUUUCUUUUUUUCUUUCACACACUCCUAGUUUCACAUGUUUGUAGCCCAUUUAUUCACUUAAUUCCUAAGAGUAUUGAAAGCGAAGCAACUAUAUGACUGUAUUCUUUGAGUAAACACUGACUGUAUUUGUUGGGUUUUCCUUUUUUUUUUUUUUUUUUUUUUUUUUUAAGGCUAAUGUGCCCUUCCUGAAUACUUGCCAUUUCAAACUCUGAAAGUGGGUCGGAGUGACUGGGUCUACUGCCAACUCUUGCUAGUCUGGUAUGAGUUCAUUCAUAUUUGUCAGUAUUGCUCACUUCAGAGAAACUCCGUCAUCAAGCAGUCGACAGCUAGGCCAGACCAACAUUGUGAGCAUGAAAAAGAAGUUCUCACCAUGUCUAUUCGUGUAGGAGUGACAAGCAACUCACAACAAGAAUUCCCAGCACAACCAUCCUCAGCAUCUGUCUAUGCUGCCCCAAAUCAGUAUAAAAUCACCAAUCCUUUACUUGCUAAUGCAGCUAGAAAAUUUAAGAACUGAAGAAUCUAGGUUAUAUGGCCGACCAGAGCAAUAGAUAUCCAAAGAAAGGCUCUCCCCAGCAUACUGGAACUGAAAAGAUCAAGACUUCCAACAGAGACAUUUGUAGCUUUGAAUGGAAACUCAUAGCAGAGAGUAAAGGGAAAGAGACAGACAACCCGAACUUUGGAAUAUUAUCCUCACCUCACAGUUUAAUAAUAAUCAUUUCUAGUAGAGAAGCUACAAAACCAACAUUGAUAUCCAGUUUGAUAAGCCUCUUGUUUUUUCACCUGAGACAAUUUUCCUUUCUGUCUCACACCUAUAUCUCCAUUUCUUUUCUCCCCCUGUACGAGGAUACAUUUUAAAUAGUUGAGUCUAACCGCUGUUAUCUAAUAAUGAAUACAAUUAAAAGCAUUUAACUCACUAUCUAGGAAAAUGUAUAAACUAAGGCAUAGACAAAACAAUGGGAAAUGCUGAAAACUUUUCCAAUGGAGAGAAGUAAUCUGGAUAAUUUUUGCCAAAAGUUCUUUUCAUGUCAUACGUUAUUAGAAUUUGGGGGGACUAAAUUUUUUAAGAAUGCUGCAACUCGCAACUCAUCUUCAGGAGACCAGCCCAGAGAAAAGUGUAGAAAUGAAAGGUUUGGAAAUCCAUUUGUCAGCAUUUAUCCUAUAAGUUUUUCAUUUAGAAACAAUGUGUUUAUCUUCUAAUUUUGUAACCAAUACAUUGUAUACUAUGUAACUCAUACUUCUUGAUAAAGCACCAAAUAUGUAUCUGUAACCACAAUCACAUAUAUUCUAUUAAAUAUAUAUCUAUAUAAUAAC